UAUUUUAUUUCUCUGAUUUUUCUCGUAAUUACCAUACUAAUGAUACUACAGAUCAAGUUUCUCUCUAGUUAUAGAGAAACUUCACCACGUAGUGAAUGACUGGAGAUCAGAUCAGAACUGCCCAACUCGAUGUACAGUUGAGAUCGAGUCGGCCGGAGUGAUUUUCAAGUCGAGCCCAGCUACUCCGGUCCGAUCUCCAGCCACCCCUACUCUUUGCGGUUUCCUCUGCAACAGUAGAGGAUCUCAAUCUUGACACUGCACGGUGCAUCACAUCAAUUAGCAUUGUUUUCAAUCUUUUGUUUUAUUAUUUUUUUUCUUUUUUUCCCAUUUCGGUGUGAGUUGUUAUGCCAUGCACUUUGUUUUCGUCAUCUCUCUAACAUGGAUAAUAGGAGUUUCGUGGUGCAGUUGAAUUUGCCAAGCUUUAAAGAACGGUUCACUAUCUCUUCUGUGUGUGUGAACAGGUUGGAUACUUUAGCUUGUUACAAAUUUGUAUAUAUAAUCAGACAUCUUAUCUUUGAUUCUUUUUUCCGGGUUUUAUGGGAAGAUGCCAUACAAGAUGCCAAGCCCUUGGUGAGUCGUUUGGUCUGCUUUGCUUAGAAUUUAGAUCAGCAAAAGAGGCUUUUAAUGGAUGCAUGGUUAGAUAGACAGAGGGUGGAGGAUGUGUUCAGACUUGAGCUACUCCACCUUCCACUGACCUUUCUUGUUUUGGUGCCAAGAUUUCUUGCUUGUCUGAAGAGUUACGGACGUACGUUACAAAGAAAAUAUUAAUGAUCAGGCUUUGGAUUUUAGCUAUUUUAGAAAUUGAUGGAAGUGAUGUAGUAAUAAAUAUUUAGCUGUCAAUCUUAUGGUAGGAAAUCAACGUCACACUUUUAGUUACAUGUGUUGCUCUAUGACGUGGUAGUUGAGAUUGUGUGUACAUGUGUUACUCUAUGACAUGGCCGACUAUGUGUAAUUACACACAAUCUCAACUGCCAUGUCAUAUAAUUAGACCUGCCACAAUCAUUUUCUACCAUCGAACAGAUCCAAAAGGUUGAUAGCCAAAUAUUUAUUACACCACUCCCAUCAAUUUCUAAAAUGACUAAAUCCAGAGUAUGUCCAUUAAAAAGAAUUAAAAUAAGAUGGUUACAUAACCAGGUGGAUGCGUAAAAGCACAAGUUGGCAAGCUAGGUGAUAAGGACUUUGACAGGAUUUUCUUGGUUGAAUCCAAACAAUGAGUUCUCACGUAAUGCGCUACAUUUGUUGUGAUUCAAUGCACUUAAAGGUGUAUAGCAUGCUAAGUGCUGGAAAUCUGAUACUGUAUGGGGACAUGGUUCAAUGGUGAGCCUCAAUGGCGUGUUGUAGGUGACACAUUUCCGCUGGGAUGCACUUUUUAGCGAGGUCAUUGUUCAUGGCCAGGCGAUAAUUCUCAUAAUUCAAUUCAAGCUUCCUUGUCUUAUCUAAUACUGUACAAUUUUCUGAAUAACCAACCACUCUUCUAUCGCAAAUUUUGCUGAGUUUUUCAAGGAAAAUCCGGACUACAAGAAUCCCAACUUCAACACUAACUUGGGAAUCUACACUGAGAAUUGUGGACUGGACAAUGUCACCAUGUCCUAGGGUCAUGAUGAGUACAUGUAGUUGGUAAUCCAGGACAUCAUAAAACCAUGUGUCGGCUUAUAAAUCUUGGUCAUGUGAUCCUUUACAUUAGAGUUAAUAGUAUGCUUUUUGUAAGUAUUCCCUUUAAAUUUUGUUGGAUAAAUGCACAGGAUGUGAAAGGGAAUAACUGUACUCUGCCUCCUGCUGCCCUCUUCUUCAUUAUCCGAUUCCAUUAGUUCUAUGCUCUGCAUAACGGUGAAGACUACGGAUAGUUGAUGAAUGAAGAGGAGAAAGAGACGCUGAAAUGGCUUCAUGUGUUCAACCAGUACGACCUUUACAGCAAUGAGCAAAGCGAAGAUCAACCUGGAAGAGGUCAAGCCGUAUUAUCUCUCCCUCAUUGAAAAGUACUUUCCAGCUAAACUCAAGUGGUGAAGGAUAAGUUGGGGAUGGAUUGACAAAGCUUUAAGCAAAUAAGGGUCGUGCGAUUGUUAGUGGUGGAUGCUGGGAUAGACGUUCCAUGUAAUUUGACUUAAUGUGAUACAAAUACGUGGUGUUUAGGGCUUAGGGCUGUCAACGGGCCGGGACCGGGCCAGAAUUCAUUAUUCUGGACCCGGACCCGAAUCACUAUACCGGACCCGGAUCCGACCCGUUUACCCGACGGGUCUUUUAUUCUAUGUUC